rnacentral:rRNA from 1 species
CUAAGUUUUAGAUUUGAUUUCUUAUUUUUUUAACUAAAAAAAAAAUUUUUUGCUUCAUUAGUCUUUACGAAAGAGAAGAAUGAUCAAGAACAGUGAUGGAGAGAAGUAUAGAGAAGAAGAAAGUAUUAUUGCUGUUCCUUUUGUAUCAGGAUGGUAGGAUUAAAAUAUGGACUAUUAUUUCCCGAAUGAAAAAGAGUUUUUUGAUUUUAAGAUUAAUGUUGAAUUAUUAUCCUUUAAAAUUCAAAAAGAAAUGAAAAGUUAGUCGAUUUUUUAUAUCUGGUUUCUAGAAAAGUCAUUAUAGAUGAAUUUAAUUGUGGCAGAAGAUUAGGUGGUAACACAUAUUGAUUAAAUUAAGUUCAGGGGGACAAGCUCCUGAUCGGGUAAGAUUAGAAUUUAGAAUUUUAAAAAUUUUGAUUGCGAAAUUUUUACAAGUCCAAAAACCGACUUCAUUUUCUCUCUUAUUUUCCUAGAUAGAUUUUCCAACUUUUUCGUUUUAUGGAGAAUUUACCAAUUAGUAUGAUAAAAAAAUUUUUUUUAGGAACUCGGCAAAAUUUUAGCCUGCCUGUUUAAUAAAAACAUCUCUUCGUGGUAUAAUACGAAGUAGAACCUGCUCAAUGCUAAAGAGUUAAUAGCUGCAGUAUCCUAACUGUACGAAGGUAGCAUAAUAAAUUGGCCUUUUAUUGGGGUCUGGAAUGAAUGGUUUGACAAGGUUAAAUCUUUCUUAAAAAAAAAAUCAAAAAUUAAAUUUAAAGUAAAAAUGCUCUAAUUUAUUAGAGGGACGAUAAGACCCUGUAGAUCUUUAUUUUCAUAUUCUUAAAUUUAAGGGGUGAAAAUUUGUUUGGGAGGAACCUUGAAUUCAUUUUAAUCUUCAGAUAAUUUAAAGAGUUACAUUUCAAAUUUUACGAUCCUAGAAGGAAAAAAGGAAAAAGUUACCUCAGGGAUAACAGGGUAAUAAUUAUCUUUUAGAUCAUAUAAGAGAUAGUGGUUACCACCUCGAUGUUGAAUUAAGCUUUCUAAUCUGUGAAGAAGAAGAUAAAGUGAGUCUGUUCGACUUUUAAAAGCUUACAUGAUUUGAGUUUAGACCGACGUGAGUCAGGUCAGAUUCUAUCUUCUUUGAUCUUCCUAUUGUACGAAAGGACUCAGGAAGAUUUAGUUUAUAAAUUAAAUUAUAAAAUU